rnacentral:rRNA from 1 species
AAUAUUAAAUAGCCGCAAUAUGUGCUAAGGUAGCAUAAUCAUUUGUCUCCUAAUUAGAGUCUAGAACAAAAGAUUUGACACUUUCAUAUUUAUAAUUAAUUUAAAAUUUUAAUUUUACUUAAAAGUAAAAAGACUUUUAUAAAAUAGAAAGACGACAAGACCCUAUUGAACUUAACUUUAGUUUAACUGGGGUAGUUAAUUAAUUAUAAUUUUAAUAUAAAUACUAGACAAAAAAUCUAAUUUAAUUAAUAAACCAGUUACCAUAGGGAUAACAGCGCAAUAAAUUUUUAAAGACCAUAUCUAAAAAUUAGAUUACGACCUCGAUGUUGAAUUAAUAUUCUUUAAGAAGCAAGAUUCUUAAGAGAAAGUCUGUUCGACUUUUAAAAAAUUACAUGAUUUGAGUUCAGACCGGUGUAAGCCAGGUCGGUUUCUAUCUUCUAUAUAAACUCUAUACAGUACGAAAGGACCUAUAAAUAUUUUAUAUUAUAUUGGCAGAAUAAUGCAUUAGAAUUAGAAUCUAAUUAAAAU